rnacentral:tRNA from 1 species
GUUUUAGUAGCUUAAAACUAGAGCACUG